GACAGAGGUUGCAAACGUUGUUCGGAAUUAUCGUGGCAUAAAGCGCACGUAGGCGGUCCGUUAAGUCAUGUGAUGAAUCCCCGGCUCAACCCGGGGAAUUGCGCCUGAUACUGGCGGGCUAGAGGUUCGGAUAGGGGUGAGCGGAACUCCGAGGUGGAGCGGUGGAAAUGCGUAGAUAUCUGGAGGAACGACCAGUCGGCGGAAAGC
rnacentral:rRNA from 1 species